rnacentral:rRNA from 1 species
UACAGAGGGGGCAAGCGUUGUUCGGAAUUAUUGGGCGUAAAGCGCGCGUAGGCGGUUACUCGAGUCGGAUGUGAAAGCCCUCGGCUUAACUGAGGAAGUGCACCCGAAACUGAGUAGCUAGAGUACUAAAGAGGGUCGCGGAAUUCCCGGUGUAGAGGUGAAAUUCGUAGAUAUCGGGAGGAACACCGGUGGCGAAGGCGGCGACCUGGGUAGAUACUGACGCUGAGGCGCGAAAGCGUGGGGAGCAAACAGG